UGAACGCUGGCGGCAGGCUUAACACAUGCAAGUCGAGCGGAGAUGAGGUGCUUGCACCUUAUCUUAGCGGCGGACGGGUGAGUAAUGCUUAGGAAUCUGCCAUUUAGUGGGGGACAACAUUCCGAAAGGAAUGCUAAUACCGCAUACGUCCUACGGGAGAAAGCAGGGGAUCUUCGGACCUUGCGCUAAAUGAUGAGCCUAAGUCGGAUUAGCUAGUUGGUGGGGUAAAGGCCUACCAAGGCGACGAUCUGUAGCGGGUCUGAGAGGAUGAUCCGCCACACUGGGACUGAGACACGGCCCAGACUCCUACGGGAGGCAGCAGUGGGGAAUAUUGGACAAUGGGGGGAACCCUGAUCCAGCCAUGCCGCGUGUGUGAAGAAGGCCUUAUGGUUGUAAAGCACUUUAAGCGAGGAGGAGGCUACUGAGACUAAUACUCUUGGAUAGUGGACGUUACUCGCAGAAUAAGCACCGGCUAACUCUGUG
rnacentral:rRNA from 1 species